rnacentral:ncRNA from 1 species
CCCCCUGUGAAAAUGCCCCAACAGUCACCUGCCCGGAGACAAGGAGCUGGUAUCAGGCACACAUUAUGAAAGCCCACGACACCUUGCUCAGCCACACCCCCAAGGGUAAUCAGCAGUGAUAAACAUUAAGCCAUGAGUGAAAACUUGACUUAGUUAGUGCUAAGAGGGUUGGUAAAUCUCGUGCCAGCCACCGCGGUUAUACGAGGAACCCUAGUUGUUAGAACACGGCGUAAAGCGUGGUUAAGAUGCCCAACGAACUAAAGCCGAACACUUACAAAGCUGUCAUACGCAUCCGAAAGUGAGAAGCCCACCAACGAAAGUGGCUUUAUACCAUUUGAACCCACGUAAGCUAAGACACAAACUGGGAUUAGAUACCCCACUAUGCUUAGUCGUAAACAUAGACAGCAUGCUACACCCGCUGUCCGCCCGGGAACUACGAGCAACAGCUUAAAACCCAAAGGACUUGGCGGUGCUUUAGAACCAACUAGAGGAGCCUGUUCUAGAACCGAUAAUCCCCGUUAAACCUCACCCUCUCUUGUUCCUCCAGCCUAUAUACCGCCGUCGAAAGCUUACUCCGUGAGGGUUACAAUUGUGAGCUCAAUUGGUCACAGCCCAACACGUCAGGUCGAGGUGUAGCCUAUGGGAGGGGAAGAAAUGGGCUACAUUCUCUGACAUAGAGAACACGGAUGGUCACAAUGAAACUUGUACCUGAAGGUGGAUUUAGUAGUAAGCCGGAAAUAGAGUGUCCUGCUGAAGCCGGCUCUGAAGCGCGUACACACCGCCCGUCACUCUCCCCAAGCUACCCAUAUUAAUUAACUAAAAAUACAAAACUGCAAAGGGGAGGCAAGUCGUAACAAGGUAAGUGUACCGGAAGGUGCACUUGGACUAAAU